CUGAGCCGAAGCCGGAGGCUUCACCGACUGAGCCACCCAGGCGCCCCCGGAGAAACAUUGUAAAGGCAUUAAAUGUCCCACAAGGGAUGAUGAGGAAGGCUUGUUUCGUUUUGGAAGAGCCAAAAUCUAGGUAAAUUCCUCAAGGUAAAGAUGAUGCCUCUGUUUCCUCUUUAUACCUCACACAGCGACAGGAAGACACGGUGACAAAAAGAGGUGGAUUCUGCUCAUUAUAUGACUCAAGGAUCUAGAAAGAUGGAAUACCUCCUACCUAAAUUUCGUCAGUUACUGCCACAAGGUAGAAAAGGGGACUGUGGAGCAUCUGAAACUAGCAGUUAAAUGUUUUAGCUAAAGUGACAGCUAGUCUGGUUUUUCAAAGACUGGCCUGGUUUAACACUGAAAGAUCCACAUCCUGGGAAACCUCUUAAUCUCAGGCCAAUCGGUAUGGUUCAUCACCGUCUAGCUCAGAAUUGACACAUCUCAUUGUUAUUCACAACUUAAUGUUGAGAACCAGUCACAUGGCUUCUCCUAACCACCGU